rnacentral:rRNA from 1 species
GAUGAACGCUAGCGGCAGGCUUAAUACAUGCAAGUCGAGGGGUAGCAAGAUUGUAGCAAUACGAUUGUUGACGACCGGCAAACGGGUGCGGAACACGUACACAACCUUCCUACAAGUGGGGAAUAGCCCAGAGAAAUUUGGAUUAAUACCCCGUAACAUAGCGAUGUGGCAUCAAAUUGCUAUUAUAGCUUCGGCGCUUGUUGAUGGGUGUGCGGCUGAUUAGAUAGUUGGCGGGGUAACGGCCCACCAAGUCUACGAUCAGUAGCUGAUGUGAGAGCAUGAUCAGCCACACGGGCACUGAGACACGGGCCCGACUCCUACGGGAGGCAGCAGUAAGGAAUAUUGGACAAUGGACGCAAGUCUGAUCCAGCCAUGCCGCGUGAAGGAUUAAGGUCCUCUGGAUUGUAAACUUCUUUUAUAAGGGACGAAAAAAGGUCUUUCUAGAUCGUCUGACGGUACCUUAUGAAUAAGCACCGGCUAACUCCGUGCCAGCCGCCGCUGUAACAC